AACGAACGCUGGCGGCAGGCCUAACACAUGCAAGUCGAGCGAGAUCUUCGGGUCUAGCGGCGGACGGGUGAGUAACGCGUGGGAAUAUGCCCUUCUCUGUGGAAUAGCCUCGGGAAACUGAGCGUAAUACCGCAUACGCCCUUUGGGGGAAAGAUUUAUCGGAGAAGGAUUAGCCCGCGUUGGAUUAGGUAGUUGGUGGGGUAACGGCCUACCAAGCCGACGAUCCAUAGCUGGUUUGAGAGGAUGAUCAGCCACACUGGGACUGAGACACGGCCCAGACUCCUACGGGAGGCAGCAGUGGGGAAUCUUAGACAAUGGGGGCAACCCUGAUCUAGCCAUGCCGCGUGAGUGAUGAAGGCCUUAGGGUUGUAAAGCUCUUUCAGCUGGGAAGAUAAUGACGGUACCAGCAGAAGAAGCCCCGGCUAACUCCGUG
rnacentral:rRNA from 1 species